rnacentral:rRNA from 1 species
UACGAAGGGGGCUAGCGUUGUUCGGAAUUACUGGGCGUAAAGCGCGCGCAGGCGGUCUUCCAAGUCAGUGGUGAAAGCCCGGAGCUCAACUCCGGAACUGCCAUUGAAACUGUAAGACUUGAGGACGAGAGAGGUGAGUGGAACUGCGAGUGUAGAGGUGAAAUUCGUAGAUAUUCGCAAGAACACCAGUGGCGAAGGCGGCUCACUGGCCCGAUACUGACGCUGAGGCACGAAAGCGUGGGGAGCAAACAGG